rnacentral:tRNA from 1 species
GUAGAUGUACGUGGUGUUUCACUUUUUAGAGGUCAAACGAUUGUUUUUUCUUGUGUUUAAAUAAGGUAUAGGUUCGAAUCCUAUCUUCUACA